CCUACGGGAGGCAGCAGUGGGGAAUAUUGCACAAUGGGCGCAAGCCUGAUGCAGCCAUGCCGCGUGUAUGAAGAAGGCCUUCGGGUUGUAAAGUACUUUCAGCAGUGAGGAAGGUGGGUAUGUUAAUAGCAUAUUCAUUUGACGUUAGCUGCAGAAGAAGCACCGGCUAACUCCGUGCCAGCAGCCGCGGUAAUACGGAGGGUGCGAGCGUUAAUCGGAAUUACUGGGCGUAAAAGCGCAUGCAGGUGGUUUGUUAAGUCAGAUGUGAAAAGCCCGGGGCUCAACCUCGGAAUUGCAUUUGAAACUGGCAAACUAGAGUACUGUAGAGGGGGUAGAAUUUCAGGUGUAGCGGUGAAAUGCGUAGAGAUCUGAAGGAAUACCGGUGGCGAAGGCGGCCCCCUGGACAGAUACUGACACUCAGAUGCGAAAGCGUGGGGAGCAAACAGGAUUAGAUACCCUGGUAG
rnacentral:rRNA from 1 species